AACAGAGAAAGAAGGGGGACAGGCACGACUCGGGCCAUCCCCUCCCGAACGGCAGCCACCUGCUCAUCAAAUUCAUGGAGUCUGAAAGAUAAAACUCACUUUGCAUUUCUAUCUUUGGUGAGGUAGAUCUUGCUCUGCUCAUACCAAGCCUUACCAUACAGAUGACCAAGACGUGUGCUUUACAGACACAGCAUUACAGAGCUUGUCACACGAGGAGUUCAUCUCGA